CUCACAAGGAAUCGUUUACCUUUGAUUUCAAGAGAAGCGGCAACUUGAAUAACCGUUACCCGCGUCCCUCUGCAACUUGUCAAGGCAAAAGCAUUUGUUCUCGCUACACGAUAACAAAGAAGUCGAAGAGGAGACACAGUGCUCAAGAGAGACUAAUGUUAGAUGGCAUAAUAAAGACAACCUGAAGGACCUGAGAGCCAUUAUUCGCACAAAGUGCCAGCAAGGUCAUCUGGCUGAGGAAUGGUUCCCCCUCUCCCUGCCUUCAAAUCCUUGAUGGAGCUGUCAUAAUGGCGGAAAAAACACUGUAGGACCUUUGAAGAAUGAACUUUCCAAACCAAUGGAUUGUUUUGAAGGGCAAAGCUGUCAAAGACCAAACAUUAUCACCAACAGUAAAAUCUGUUGGCCUUUUCUCAGUUCAAGGUUUCUGCUUCAGAAGGUAAAACCAGCUGUGACUUUUCAAGGAGCUGAACUACGGAAGAGUUUUCUCUUCAGCAAAGUUUAAACAAGUCCUUUUUAGACAGCUUAGUAUCAAACCACCUGAAACACACACCAGCUACUGGAGGUGAC